CUUCCUCUUUUUUUCCUUUAAAGGGGUGAUAGAAUGCAAAACCGAUUUUACCUUGUCAUAGGUGAAUAACGACAGUUCGGUGGGUAAAUAGGACAUACAUAGAAGCUUAAAAUCCCAUCUUCAUGCCUUUUCUCUGAAAAUCUCAUCAUUUUGAAACUGCCGCUGAAAACGGGCGAAUCCCAACAAAGCUAAAAAGAUGACGUCAGGAUCUCAGAGCCCGUAGCUUUGUCACGCCCAUGGCUGUAUUAGGAGAACGGUCACGCCCCAACAUUUACAUACAGGCCACUGACCUGAGACCAGUUCCUAAUGGACCUAGCGUUAGGUCAAUCAGAUGUCCGACUGAGAACGCUGCUCCUGUACUGUGACGGGAUUUACUAAGAAGAAAGUUUGGAAUGUUUUCCAGGAUAUUGACAAUGAACCCGGGUCGUAAAUGCAGAGUUCCAGGCUGUCCAGGGAAUGGAGACAC